UGAGAGGGCAAUCUGACUGCGACAUCCGUCACCCCAUUGAUUGCCAGAGUUGAUUGGCCUGACCUGGCUGGCUAAGCGGCUUUCCUCUUUCUCCCUGAGCGCUCCAGCAUGUGCUCCAGAAGCUGCACGCUGGUGGAGGAGGGCAACCUUCCCUGACAGAGGAGGAUUUUUCUUCAGUCAAGUGUUUGUAGGCAACUGUGCUCUCCUACCUGAACCUCCAAAUAAACUCUUAAGGUCUAAGCUUUCAAGGUCUGUUGGUAGGAGAAAAUAGAAUAAUCAAGCCACCAAGGCUCCAGACACACCCAGAUGAAGUCCAGCAAGCAUCCUCUUCUUCUUUUUUCU
rfam:Sus scrofa isolate TJ Tabasco breed Duroc chromosome 18, whole genome shotgun sequence.